UUCUCCUCGGGAGGCAGCAGUAGGGAAUCUUCCACAAUGGGCGCAAGCCUGAUGGAGCAACACCGCGUGAGUGAAGAAGGGUUUCGGCUCGUAAAGCUCUGUUGUUGGAGAAGAACGUGCGUGAGAGGAACUGUUCACGCAGUGACGGUAUCCAACCAGAAAGUCACGGCUAACUACGUGCCAGCAGCCGCGGGAAUACGUAGGUGGCAAGCGUUAUCCGGAUUUAUUGGGCGUAAAGCG
rnacentral:rRNA from 1 species